AAAGUCGUAACAAGGUUUCCGUAGGUGAACCUGCGGAAGGAUCAUUAACUACUAACAAGGGGUUACCUUGAUAUUAUGCGAGUGUUGUAGUGUUAAAAAAGAGAAACUAUUACAACUUUUAACAAUGGAUCUCUUGGCUCUU
rnacentral:misc_RNA from 1 species